UGCAGAAGUUCCACUGCAGCUUUUGAUAUGAAUCAUACUUCUCAGGCUGUGCAGGAGAAAGGGAGCCUGUGAGCAAGGUUUAAAUCAUCAGGUUGUUUUAUUAUUACAGAUGUACCCAUUAGGAUCCAAGUUUAGCAAGGAAAUUAUUAAAAUCCAUCUGUCUGUAAGGCAGAGCAAAAGAUCUUUUCAUUUUUAUUUAGAACUUUGGCUCCCAUGGCUGCUUGGUAGAACAGUGAAUUCUCAUUGUUUCUGGCUAGAGAGCUUUGUUGUUAUGAGUCACCUUGUUACACAUUUGGGAGUCAACCAACUUUUUAUAUUAAUGUUUGUGCUUUCCCUUGAUAGCCAUUGUGGUAGGUUGGACAGAAAAGUUUGGGAGUGUCCCAGGAUUUGGAAGACUCUGGCAAAGCCCUUUUUAAUCUCCUUCUUCCUAAAUCUGGGGAAUUUUCUGCAUGAUAAAGCAAAGAUAUUGGAAAACUCCAGACCAACAAAAAGUGGUGUGAAAAGAAAUUCCCAAGACAUUUUUUCCAUACAGUCUGAGUCAUCUCCUGAAGGUGGAUCUUUGCUGACAGGUGUUCAUCAGAAAUAUCUGAGCUACUCCAGCAAGAGGUACUAUGAAUCAAAUAUCUACAUCUAUGGCUUCAUUUAUUUUUGGUGCACACUGUAUUUUCUAGUGACCAAAGUGUUUUUUCCUCUGUCCCAUCAGAGUCCAUCAUGAGCUUUCAUUAUCAUUGUCAUACAUUGCAAGGAUCUGCAUCUGAAGCACCAGUCAGCAGCAGCUCCAAGGACACAUUCCAUCUAUGUGGAAUAAGAAACUGCUGUCAUGGAGAAAGUCCACCUGCCAGCCUCACUGUGGACUGUAGCAACUCUGAAUUUGUUCUGUUGCACAUCACGUGUGGAAGCACGGGAAAGAGCAGGACUGCUCCUCCCCAGAAGAAAAUCACUGUACGUGGGUUAAGCAAUCACAUUUUUUUCAUUGCAUGGGGCUGGGUGUGUGGAGCGGUGAGGUCUGGGUGUUCUCAUUCCUCAGUCUUUGCUUGUCCCAUGAGUCAUGUUGUACCAGAUAUUCUAGUAAAUGAAAACAGAUCCAGGUAGAUGGAGAGAGUAAAUAUCUUGCUACUGCCAGAGUAUCCUCAUAGAAGUGGACUGUCAUGAGGAAUUCCAUGAAUACAUUGUCCAAUCAGCUUAGCUGACAGAAGUUCUUUUACUUUUCCUAUGCUUCCCACUCUCCCCAAACAAGAACUUUUUUAGCAAAGACUUACAUAGGUAAAAGUUACCUCUCCACUGCUCCAGCAGAGUUUUGCAUCACAAGGUAAUGGGAAUUUCUGGUUUUAGGUCCAUUGUGACAGAGUGUUAUAUUAUGUCCCAGUUUUACUAAAUACAUAAGCCAGUGAGAUUACUGUCGGACUGAAUCAGGAGUCUCCAGAGCUCAGUAACGAAGCCACAUUUAAACUUUUCACCAUUUGCUUAUGCAGUACUGGUAUUUGAGAUGGAGAAUACAUCUGUCCUGGUGUAUGACAGUCAUCUCAAGUGGCUGCUCAGAAUGCGAAAUAAUAUUAAUAGUAUAUGAGAUGUACGAUGAGAGAAUACCAGGCUAUAACUUACAAAAGGUUGAUGCUGGAUUUCUCUCCUUCCUUCACACAGAUUGGCCACUGUAUCCCUCAAGUAUUUUCUUUAUUAUCGUGUUUGAAGAUGACAGCCCUACUCAUAGCUUAGCC
ensembl:lncRNA